CUAUAAAUAGUCUAACAAAGAUAUAAAAUUUAGAAUUUUAAGAUGGAAUAACCUAUAGA
rnacentral:tRNA from 1 species